GAUUUUUCUUCAGUAUCGAUACCCGCUCGAGUGAGUCUCUAGUCUCGAUACUUUUGACGAGCCUUAAACACAGUAUUUCGUCCUUUGCAGCCUCGAUCCAGAAGCGUCUGAAGAAGGAGAAAAAGGCCAAGAGGAAGCUGCAGGAGGCGCUAGAGUUCGAGUCGAAGAGACGUGAGCGAGUGGAGGACGUCCUGAAACACUCGUCCUCCUCAUCCCCCUCUCCGGAGCCGCACCACAACAACAAGAACGACUCGAACGGGGCUGACGAGACACCGGAGCUUAAUGGCAACAAGCAGGACUCAGACGGGAUUCUGGAAUCACGGUCCUUCCUGAAAACUCCCAUGAUGUUCUAGAGACUCCGCCUCCUCACCUGUCCCCGCCCACUUCCCUCGUUUCCCGUUUUCGCUCUUUCCCCUUUUUGAACUGUUACCAUGGAAACAAAGCCCCGGAUCACCCUGGCGACGAAACGAGGAGCUUUCCCUGUCGCUC
ensembl:lncRNA